rnacentral:rRNA from 1 species
CGUAGGGAGCAAGCGUUGUCCGGAUUUACUGGGUGUAAAGGGUGCGUAGGCGGCUUUGCAAGUCAGAUGUGAAAUCUAUGGGCUCAACCCAUAAACUGCAUUUGAAACUGUAGAGCUUGAGUGAAGUAGAGGCAGGCGGAAUUCCCCGUGUAGCGGUGAAAUGCGUAGAGAUGGGGAGGAACACCAGUGGCGAAGGCGGCCUGCUGGGCUUUAACUGACGCUGAGGCACGAAAGCGUGGGUAGCAA